rnacentral:rRNA from 1 species
AGGCAGCAGUGGGGAAUAUUGGGCAAUGGACGCAAGUCUGACCCAGCAACGCCGCGUGAAGGAAGAAGGCUUUCGGGUUGUAAACUUCUUUUAAGGGGGAAGAGCAGAAGACGGUACCCCUUGAAUAAGCCACGGCUAACUACGUGCC